GCGGAGGGAUCAUUACACAAAUAUGAAGGCGGGCUGGAACCUCUCGGGGUUACAGCCUUGCUGAAUUAUUCACCCUUGUCUUUUGCGUACUUCUUGUUUCCUUGGUGGGUUCGCCCACCACUAGGACAAACAUAAACCUUUUGUAAUUGCAAUCAGCGUCAGUAACAAAUUAAUAAUUACAACUUUCAACAACGGAUCUCUUGGUUCUGGCAUCGAUGAAGAACGCAGCGAAAUGCGAUAAGUAGUGUGAAUUGCAGAAUUCAGUGAAUCAUCGAAUCUUUGAACGCACAUUGCGCCCUUUGGUAUUCCAAAGGGCAUGCCUGUUCGAGCGUCAUUUGUACCCUCAAGCUUUGCUUGGUGUUGGGCGUCUUGUCUCUAGCUUUGCUGGAGACUCGCCUUAAAGUAAUUGGCAGCCGGCCUACUGGUUUCGGAGCGCAGCACAAGUCGCACUCUCUAUCAGCAAAGGUCUAGCAUCCAUUAAGCCUUUUUUUCAACUUUUGACCUCGGAUCAGGUAGGGAUACCCGCUGAACUUAAGCAUAUCAUAA
rnacentral:rRNA from 1 species